AUUGAACGCUGGCGGCAGGCUUAACACAUGCAAGUCGAGCGGAGAUGAGGUGCUUGCACCUUAUCUUAGCGGCGGACGGGUGAGUAAUGCUUAGGAAUCUGCCUAUUAGUGGGGGACAACAUUCCGAAAGGAAUGCUAAUACCGCAUACGCCCUACGGGGGAAAGAAGGGGAUCGCAAGACCUUUUGCUAAUAGAUGAGCCUGCGUAGGAUUAGCUAGUUGGUGGGGUAAAAGCUCACCAAGGCGACGAUCCUUAACUGGUUUGAGAGAAUGAUCAGUCACACUGGAACUGAGACACGGUCCAGACUCCUACGGGAGGCAGCAGUGGGGAAUAUUGGACAAUGGGCGAAAGCCUGAUCCAGCAAUACCGCGUGUGUGAAGAAGGCCUUAGGGUUGUAAAGCACUUUCAAUUGGAAGGAAAACCUCGAAGCUAAUACCUUCGAGUUUGACAUUACCUUUAGAAGAAGCACCGGCUAACUCCGUGCCAGCCGCCGCGGUAA
rnacentral:rRNA from 1 species